AUAUGAUGGUUUUUUCAUUCGUCUGGGAAAAAAAAAAAAAAAAAGAAAAAAGAAAAAUGAAAAAGAUUAUUAUUUUAUUCUCGAGGUGGAAGUGAAAGUAUCUUAUUCUUUCCCUUUUUAAACCCAAAAAAAAAAAAAAAAAAAAAUAAAAUUCCCAGAUCUUAUAGAUCUUGCCCGUUCAAUUUCCCAACGGCUAGUUUGAUAACUAACGGUCAAAUUUCAACUCUUAUAUAAUAGGCCACUGUAGCUCCUUCUCCAAAUUUUUUCUUUUUUGGCUGUGGAGAUUUCCUUCCUCUUGAUUUUCCGUCAUUUUUUAACUAAUUUUCUCUCUUGUUUUGUUAUUUUUCCUUCCUUUGGUUUUGGUUAUAUGACUGAAAAUGUAAAACCAAGAAUGGGGCUUUCUGAGAGGAAGGGAGGAGAUGGAGUUUUGGGUCUAAAGGUAAACUGUUUGAAGAAACGCCGUAUGCAAACAGUUUCCUAAGAAGAAACGCUAUGGAAUCAUUGUUUAUGGAAUUUCCACUCCCAGAUGGCAAGGAAAGGCUGAAACUGAGCCAAGAACAGGGUCUCAAACUGCGGCAUAUCAAGUUCUGGUUCCAAAACAGGCAAACCCAGAUGGAGAAAUUCUCUCCUCUUUCCUUUUUCAUUCUUUCACGGAUGUGGAGGAAUUUUCCAUCUCACAGAGGAGGCUGGGGUGUUAGAAACAAGUCAUGAAUUUCUCUUCUGAUGCGAACGAUAAAGUAAGACUAAACGUGAUGGCUCUGAGUUUGGCCGAUGCUUGUAUCUGUACAAGGGGAGGAAUUACAGCUCUUCCAGCCAAUUUUGAUGGCUCAAGAACUCAUGUGGAAGUCCAGAAGCAAAUAAGAUGUCUUUUUUGGUCAAUGGCUUUCUUGUUUCUUGUACUCAGAAUCAACAAUAAUUGUAAUAUAAGAAAAGAUAAGAUUUUUUGGGUUUGAGAGGAAGAGAUAGACCGCUGGGAUUUCCAGGUCUCUUCUCUCUCUGCUGUGGGUGUGGUGUGGUGUGUGUCCCCUCUCUCUGCUUUCACCUGCUUUCUCCUCCCCCUUCUAUUUCUCUAUUUUUCUGUCUCUGCUUUCUUUUUUUUCUCUCUGUUACUUUUUUUUCUCUCUGCUUUCUAUUUCUCUAUAAAUAUUUUAAAAUAAAAGCCACUAAGGUAUUUUUUAAAAUUAAAAAAAUAAUGCUAAAUUAAAAACCAGAAUCUAUCAUUAUUAUAUUUAUAUUUUUAUGUUUUUGUAAAAGGUAGUAUAUUUUCAAGUAAUUACAUUAUUUUGUUGUAAAAAAAAAAAAAGUAAUUACAUUAUUUUUUUUCUUAAGACAAAUACAUAAAUUUAAAAUAUUAAAGAAAACAAAAUUUACAUUAAAAUAAUGAACUUUUAGAAUUUAAUUUAUUCGAUAAAAAAAAUUGGAAGCCUUUUAGACAAGUAAAUUAGGACUUUUAAACUUUUAAACUUGCAAGCUUUUCCUGAUCUACUUCAUUAAGGACAUAAAAAGGACAUGAAUUUAGAAUUUCACAAAAUUUUAUAUUGAUAGUUUGCUGAAUGAACUAUUUUACCCUAUGAUAGUAAUGUCAAAGGGUGGCAAAUAAAAUUUUGCAAUUGAAGAAAUUAAAGAGAGAAAUUAGCAAGAGAUGUUGUAGAGAAAGUGCAGAGAGAGAGAGAAGAAAGUGGGAAGAGGAGAAAUUUAAGCAAAGGGAGAAGAGAAAGAGAAUAAAGGAGUUAAGGAGAGAGAGUAGGGAGUGAAUGUAGAGAAGGUGGGGAGAGAGAAGUAGGAAUAAAGUAGAGAUGAAAUAAGGGAGGUGAUUGGUAGUAGUGAGAAGGUGAAGAGGAAGCGAGGGAGAGAACAGAGAAUGUUAGAAGGAGGAGAGGACGGGUAGGGAAUAGUGGAGAGAAAAAUUGGGGAACUUGGAGAUAGAACAGAUAUAGGAAGGAAGUUUUUCAUUUUUUUUUUUGGGGAACAAAGGUUCAAUGUAAUAUCUUUAAUAUAUGUUUGACAACAAAUAGUUUUAUUUCCAUCUCA